GACAGAGGGGGCAAGCGUUGCUCGGAAUCACUGGGCGUAAAGGGCUCGUAGGCGGUUUGUCGCGUCGGGAGUGAAAAUCCAGGGCUUAACUCUGGACUGGCUUCCGAUACGGGCAGACUAGAGGUAUGCAGGGGAGAACGGAAUUCCUGGUGUAGCGGUGAAAUGCGCAGAUAUCAGGAGGAACACCGGUGGCGAAGGCGGGUCUCUGGGCCGAUACUGACGCUGAGGAGCGAAAGCGUGGGGAGCGAACAGG
rnacentral:rRNA from 1 species